rnacentral:rRNA from 1 species
AACGAACGCUGGCGGCGCGCUUAACACAUGCAAGUCGAGCGGUCUGGGGGCAACUCCAGGCAGCGGCGGACGGGUGCGUAACACGUGGAUAAUCUGCCCUAGAGACGGGGAUAACCAGCCGAAAGGUUAGCUAAUACCCGGUAAGCUCACGGACCCGAAGGGGUCAGGGAGAAAAGUCGCAAGACGCUCUAGGAUGAGUCCGCGGCCCAUCAGGUAGUUGGCGGGUAAAGGCCCACAAGCCUACGACGGUAGCUGGUCUGAGAGGACGACCAGCCACACUGGAACUGAGACACGGUCCAGACUCCUACGGGAGGCAGCAGUGGGGAAUCUUGCGCAAUGGGCGAAAGCCUGACGCAGCGACGCCGCGUGUGCGAUGAAGGUCUUCGGAUCGUAAAGCACUGUCGCCCGGGAAAAGAAAGUGAUGGUACCGGAG